GCGUGAGGGAGGAGGCUCUUGGGUUGUAAACCUCAAAACUUAGGGAAGAAAAAAAUGACGGUACCUAAUGUAAGCAUCGGCUAACUCCGUGCCAGCAGCCGCGGUAAUACGGAGGAUGCAAGCGUUAUCCGGAAUCAUUGGGCGUAAAGAGUCCGUAGGUGGCACUUCAAGUCUGCUUUCAAAGACCGAAGCUCAACUUCGGAAAGGGAGUGGAAACUGAAGAGCUAGAGUAUAGUAGGGGUAGAGGGAAUUCCUAGUGUAGCGGUGAAAUGCGUAGAGAUUAGGAAGAACACCAGUGGCGAAGGCGCUCUACUGGGCAUAUACUGACACUGAGGGACGAAAGCUAGGGGAGCGAAUGGGAUUAGAUCC
rnacentral:rRNA from 1 species